rnacentral:rRNA from 1 species
UACAGAGGGUGCAAGCGUUGUUCGGAAUUAUUGGGCGUAAAGCGCGUGUAGGCGGCUUUGCAAGUCGGGUGUGAAAGCCCUCAGCUCAACUGAGGAAGUGCGCCCGAAACUGCAGAGCUUGAGUGCCGGAGAGGGUGGCGGAAUUCCCCAAGCAGAGGUGAAAUUCGUAGAUAUGGGGAGGAACACCGGUGGCGAAGGCGGCCACCUGGACGGUAACUGACGCUGAGACGCGAAAGCGUGGGGAGCAAACAGG